rnacentral:rRNA from 1 species
GAUGAACGCUGGCGGCGUGCUUAACACAUGCAAGUCGAACGGACUCAUAUUGAAACCUAGUGAAGUAUGAGUUAGUGGCGGACGGGUGAGUAACGCGUGGAAAACCUGCCGUAUACUGGGGGAUAACACUUAGAAAUAGGUGCUAAUACCGCAUAAGCGCACAGCUUCGCAUGAAGCGGUGUGAAAAACUCUGGUGGUAUACGAUGGUUCCGCGUCUGAUUAGCUAGUUGGUGGGGUAAUGGCCUACCAAGGCAACGAUCAGUAGCCGGCCUGAGAGGGUGAACGGCCACAUUGGGACUGAGACACGGCCCAAACUCCUACGGGAGGCAGCAGUGAGGAAUAUUGGUCAAUGGGCGGGAGCCUGAACCAGCCAAGUCGCGUGAGGGAUGACGGUCCUACGGAUUGUAAACCUCUUUUGCCGGGGAGCAAGCGUGCGUUCGUGAACGCGCGUCGAGAGUACCCGGAGAAAAAGCAUCGGCUAACUCCGUGCCAGCAGCCGCGGUAAUACGGAGGAUGCGAGCGUUAUCCGGAUUUAUUGGGUUUAAAGGGUGCGUAGGCGGGAUGCCAAGUCAGCGGUAAAAAUGCGGUGCUCAACGCCGUCGAGCCGUUGAAACUGGCGUUCUUGAGUGGGCGAGAAGUAUGCGGAAUGCGUGGUGUAGCGGUGAAAUGCAUAGAUAUCACGCAGAACUCCGAUUGCGAAGGCAGCAUACCGGCGCCCUACUGACGCUGAGGCACGAAAGCGUGGGUAUCGAACAGGAUUAGAUACCCUGGUAGUCCACGCAGUAAACGAUGAAUGCUAACUGUCCGGUGCGAGUGAGUGCUGGGCGGUACAGCGAAAGCGUUAAGCAUUCCACCUGGGGAGUACGCCGGCAACGGUGAAACUCAAAGGAAUUGACGGGGGCCCGCACAAGCGGAGGAACAUGUGGUUUAAUUCGAUGAUACGCGAGGAACCUUACCCGGGCUCAAACGCAGGAUGACGGGUCCCGAAAGGGGCCUUUCUUCGGACAUUCUGCGAGGUGCUGCAUGGUUGUCGUCAGCUCGUGCCGUGAGGUGUCGGCUUAAGUGCCAUAACGAGCGCAACCCCUGUCCACAGUUGCCAGCAGGUAAAGCUGGGGACUCUGUGGAGACUGCCGGCGCAAGCUGCGAGGAAGGCGGGGAUGACGUCAAAUCAGCACGGCCCUUACGUCCGGGGCGACACACGUGUUACAAUGGCAGGUACAGCGGGAUGCCACGGGGCGACCCGGCGCUGAACCCGAAAACCUGUCUCAGUUCGGAUUGGAGUCUGCAACCCGACUCCAUGAAGCUGGAUUCGCUAGUAAUCGCGCAUCAGCCACGGCGCGGUGAAUACGUUCCCGGGCCUUGUACACACCGCCCGUCAAGCCAUGGAAGCCGGGGGUACCUGAAGUGCGUGACCGCGAGGAGCGCCCUAGGGUAAAACCGGUGACUGGGGCU